rnacentral:rRNA from 1 species
UACGGAGGAUGCGAGCGUUAUCCGGAUUUAUUGGGUUUAAAGGGCGCGUAGGCGGACUGUCAAGUCAGCGGUAAAAUUGAGAGGCUCAACCUCUUCCCGCCGUUGAAACUGGUGGUCUUGAGUGGAUGAGAAGUACGCGGAAUGCGUGGUGUAGCGGUGAAAUGCAUAGAUAUCACGCAGAACUCCGAUUGCGAAGGCAGCAUACCGGCGCCCUACUGACGCUGAGGCACGAAAGCGUGGGUAUCGAACAGG